AUACAAUACGCAGCAGCAGCGCCGAGCGAGAAUCUUUGGGAAGAGUUUCCAUAGAAACACUGACGUCCUCCUGGCGAACAGGACACCGAGUUCUUUCAAUGGGAGGUUAAAAGUCAGAAUUUGCUUUUCAGACAAGAAGGGAUAAACUGAAAGUUUCUUUGGAGCCCCAGAAGUGGGUUUGAUUCCUGCCGGCCUGCAGCCUCAUUCCCAGGGCAGUCCCACAUCCCCAGCAUUGGGGUUUCCCAGCAGCACGCAAUUUGAGCACCGACCACAUCAGGAGCUUCCUUCACGUGAGCCGCAGGAGAGCACAUCUCCAGCCUUACAGAGUCUCACAGCAGUCCUGAUUACACAAGAAUCAGCUCUGUAUAUUGACCUCAGCUCCUAACGCUCGCGUUAAAGCCAUUCAGCCUCCGCUCAGGUUUCAGCAGUGCGGUUAUUCUCUUUGUGAGGCCGCUCCCCAAAUCCCACCUGCAAACACCGACCUCUGAGGCAGCACAGCGCUCCCACUUCAAUGGGAAUCCUGCUGCGGCCUCAGCGUGCGCAGAGCAGUUACAGGUGAACUGCGGCUGAGCCAGCAGAUCUUAUCUGCCCCCUGCCCGCUGUUUGCCGUGCCCACCAGGUUGCUACGUUCUCAUUUUAAAAGCCAGGGUUUGCCUUUUCCAUCCCGAGGCCUCCACCGCAGCAGCCGUGCCCACAGCCCAGUGGGAGCAGCGCUCACCCGCCGGUCCCGGCAGCUCCACAGCCACCUCCGGGUCACAACGCCCGCAGUGGUGCAGUGCUCACGAUUUGGGCUGCACAGCGGUGACGUACGACCCAAUUGUCUCUGACAGCACACGGUGAGAUAAUAUAUUG
rnacentral:lncRNA from 7 species